AGAGUUUGAUCCUGGCUCAGAAUGAACGCUGGCGGCGUGCUUAACACAUGCAAGUCGAACGAGAAUUUUUUAAGCUUGCUUAAGAAUAGUAAAGUGGCGCACGGGUGAGUAACGCGUGGGUAAUCUACCCUUGAGAGCGGGAUAACAUUGCGAAAGUGGUGCUAAUACCGCAUAUUAUUUAAAUAUUUGCGGAUAAAUAGAUAAAAGUAUGCCUCUGAUUUACGCAUAUGCUUAAGGAUGAGCCUGCGUACCAUUAGCUAGUUGGCAGGGUAAAGGCCUACCAAGGCGACGAUGGUUAACUGGUCCGAGAGGAUGAUCAGUCACACUGGAACUGAGACACGGUCCAGACUCCUACGGGAGGCAGCAGUGAGGGAUUUUGCGCAAUGGGGGAGACCCUGACGCAGCAACGCCGCGUGAGUGAUGAAGGCUUUCGGGUCGUAAAGCUCUGUCAAGUGGAAAGAAGUUAUUGUAUAUAAAUAGUAUAUGAUAUUGACGGUACCACUGAAGGAAGCACCGGCUAACUCCGUGCCAGCAGCCGCGGUAACACGGGGGGUGCAAGCGUUAUUCGGAAUUAUUGGGUGUAAAGGGCGCGUAGGCGGUUUUGAAAGUCAUAUGUGAAAGUCCCGGGCUUAACCCUGGAAGAGCAUAUGAAACUAUAAGACUUGAGUAUGGUAGAGGGAAGUGGAAUUCCUGGUGUAGAGGUGAAAUUCGUAGAUAUCAGGAGGAACACCGGUGGCGAAGGCGACUUUCUGGGCCAAUACUGACGCUGAGGCGCGAAGGCGUGGGUAGCGAACAGGAUUAGAUACCCUGGUAGUCCACGCAGUAAACGAUGAACACUAGGUGUAGCGGGUAUUGACUCCUGCUGUGCCGCAGCAAACGCAUUAAGUGUUCCGCCUGGGGAGUACGAUCGCAAGAUUAAAACUCAAAGGAAUUGACGGGGGCCCGCACAAGCGGUGGAGCAUGUGGUUUAAUUCGACGCAACGCGAAGAACCUUACCUGGAUUUGACAUCCUGAGAAAGAUCUUGAAAGGGAUAAGUGCCCAUGUAAAUGGGAGCUCAGUGACAAGUGCUGCAUGGCUGUCGUCAGCUCGUGUCGUGAGAUGUUGGGUUAAGUCCCGCAACGAGCGCAACCCUUAUCUUUAGUUACCAUCAUUAAGUUGGGGACUCUAAAGAUACUGCCCCGGUUAACGGGGAGGAAGGUGGGGAUGACGUCAAGUCCUCAUGGCCUUUAUAUCCAGGGCUACACACGUGCUACAAUGGUCUGUACAAAGAGUUGCGAACUCGCGAGAGCCAGCUAAUCUCAAAAAGCAGACCUCAGUUCGGAUUGGAGUCUGCAACUCGACUCCAUGAAGUUGGAAUCGCUAGUAAUCGUGGAUCAGCAUGCCACGGUGAAUACGUUCCCGGGCCUUGUACACACCGCCCGUCACACCAUGAGAGUUGAUUGUACCAGAAGUUGUUGGGCUAACCGUAUAUUUUCGGAUAUAUGGAGGCAGGCACCUAAGGUAUGGUUGAUAAUUAGGGUGAAGUCGGAACAAGGUA
rnacentral:rRNA from 1 species